GCUGCCUCUGAGAACCUCAGCUGGGGAAUGGAGGUCUUGCCCCCUCUGUUCCUUGGGGGAUUACUCUGCCUAAAGCCAGCUCUGAUCAUGUAUCUUCCCCACUUAAACCCUUCAGUGGGUUCACUCUGCCUGUAAAAUACAGGACAUUUCCGGAUCCUUCCCUGAUGUGACCCAAUCUGUUUUUUUGUGGGGUUUUUUUUGUUGUUGUUGUUGUUGCUGUUUAUUUUCUGAAUACCUGCUGUGUUUCAGCUGAAGUGCCUUACUUUUGCUGUUUCCUUAGUAGGGCCCUGCCUCCCUCUCAUUCCCCACCCCCCGUCACCUUUGCUCACGGGAUGUAUGCCAUCUGUCCACCUGUAUCAUCUUUGCCUCCCUGCCUCACCCCUCUCUGUAUCUAGCUACUCCACCCUGUACAAAUGCUGCCACUUUCAUGAAAGCCUUCACGCUAGAAGUGGCUCUCCCCCACCUUCCCUGUCAAACUUGCCAAGACACUCUUCCCCUCUGUUUCAGUCUGUCUCCACGUUCAAGGGGGCUCUUCUAGAUACUGGAUUGUAAGUCCCCGAAGAUUCACAUCUUCGAUAUUUAUAUAUCCUCUUAUUUCCAUGUGACUGUAUACCCUCUUUAAAAAAAAGAUCAUGGAGUAUUUUGGCAUCGUGCAUCAUACGUAGCUGCCUAAUAAAGGUGUGAUCGCUGAGUAAUAGUGGGCGCUACCUGCAUGAACGUAAGGUCCUGAUAGUGAUCCUCAGGUGGAGGGGGGACAAGAGGAGCGGCCCAGGGCGUGGAGCGGUAUUGGGCUAGGCUCUCUGAGAUUGAGCCAGGGGCCUAGUAAAGCCCCCCGCCCCCCCGACCGUGUCCGAACCUGUUCUUCCUCUUAUCUGCUAAGAAACCAUUCAUAGCAGAACAGUCUUCUGGGCAUUUCUUCCCUCCACACAUUCGGAUCUGCUGACUCAAGCUGGCACCUUCUGUUUCUGCUAACGGAUUUCUCGUUCUUGUAAGGGCCCUGACCACAGUUUCCCAUUGAUGCCUCUUCUCUUUCUCCUCCCUGCUCCAGAGCCCCUCCUUUUCCUGUUCCACUAUGGAGACGAUCCUUCUCUCAGAGAAUUUUAACUGAGAACGGGACAGAUGUAGAACUAGCCAGCUCUCCUCCAGCUCUUGGCACCUCUAGUUAGCUCCAGACAAAGCAGAGACACACAGAUGCAGUCCAGGGUGAUGUGACGGCUGGCCUCGCUCCUGCGUGUCACAAGGAGACGGGUAUUGAGCCCCAGGUUGCCAGGUCUGAGGUCAGAGGUUUGAAUUUCCAUGGGGCCACUUAAUUCCAUGCCACAGAUUUGUAGGAGAAACAGAUUGGGACUGGUAUCCGAGCGCCCUGGCUUGUGUGGUCCUCAGCAGGUCUGAGAACCUGUCUGGGCCUCACUCAGUUUCCUCAUUUGUGAAUCACAGGGCUCGGGCUUGAUCUCAGACUUGAUUGUAGAGGACUCCUGCCUUGAAUGAAGGGUUUUCUGUAUUACUGUUCCCGCACUGCUGGGAAACCAACCCUGUGCUGGGAAGAAGGUGGGCAGCCAGGUUCCGGGCAGCAGGGACCGUUCCUCUCUACCCUCACCUUCUGCAGGCCAGUGUUCUGUCACCAUUCCCAGGGCUGUAGUAUUUUUAUUCAUUCAGCCGUUCAGCCAGUGUUUAUAAACAUUUAUUCUCCUCCAUGCUUGCCUCUUGCCUUCCCUGCUGCCUGGCCAUCAGGACGCCCAGAUGGCAGGAUUAGCCUCGAAUGGGAGACGAGUCAGGGUCAUCCCCUUGGGUUUAGACCCCUUUAAUACCUCUGCUAUAUGAGAUGAGAGGAAUUUGGAACAAUGAGGGCUGAUUCUUUCUAGCAGCUUAGACUAGACUCCUGCCUUUCUAAGCAGGAUUUGCCUUAGGGUGCCUUCUAUCCCUCUGUGAUCCGAAGCAACUUACUACUCGAGAAAAUUAAUUAGCAGCGCUGAGGAUGACUUCUGCAGCCUCCCUGAGGAUAGAUCAGAGCGGCACAGGGACCCUGAUGCAUCUAACAGUCCUCCGUCUCCUGCCUCAUUCAGAUCACUGCUAACCGUUUAGCAAUACUAUGAAGGUUUCCCAGAUUAAUAACAAGUCUUUAUUGAGCAGAUACUUUGUGUCAGGCAUUGUGUGAGGUGUUUUACUUACAUUCUUGGUAAUCCCUAAAAUAAUACUGCAAGGUCGAAGUCUUUACAGAACGCUUAGACUUUACAGAAGGGGAAAGUGGUCAGACACGGUCAGAACAGUGCAUUCGCUAGCAACGAUUUACUGAGCACCUGCUAAGCGCCGUCAAUUAUUUUCGGCUCUGGGGGGAUCUGUUAAGUGCACAAACCAGACCAAAAAAAAAAAAAUCUUGUCUGCAUGGAGCUUACAUUCUAGCAAUGGGAGACUGACAAGACAUAAUCAAUUAAAUGAUACAGCUUGUCAGAUGGUGGCAAAAAGGGACACCUGGGUGGCUCCGUGGUUGAGUGCCCAGGGCGUGAUCCUAGAGCCCCGGGAUGGAGUCCUGCAUCAGGCUCCCCGCAAGGAGCCUGCUCCUCCCUCUGCCUGUGUCUCUGCCUCUCUCUCUGUGUGUCUCUCACGAAUAAAUAAAAUCUUAAAAAAAAAAGCAAAAAACAAACAAACAAACAAAAAAAACAUGGUGGCAAAAAGAAAGGAGGCCCUGGACUGCUGGGCGUGUGUGUGGCUCAGGGAAGGUGCACUGGGAGUGCACUUGGGAGUCCUGGGAGGGGAGCCAUCAGGUACAGAGCCAUGAGGCUGCCGGUGCUGGGAGGGUCGGACUCAGCCUGCGCUCCCUCUGGCUUGCCAUGCUGCCUCUCUAUAUAGUUCCUCUACGAAUCCGUUGUAACUUAGUGCUUAGUUGCCCUAGCAGUUAGGUUGUAUCCUCAAAUAUUUAUGGAAUGCUUGUUUUGUGCACAUCGCUACACUGAUAGGGUAUGGGCCCUGCCUUUGGGAACUGAUGGUCCAGACGGGGAGUGAACACCCGUGUGAGUAUAAAAGGAGUGAAAAAGAUGAAAAAGACCCCGCCCCCCAUGAGGCCCGCGAUCCGGAUCGUGCCCUCUCACACAUACUCUCAUUUGACGGUCUCUGACACAGGCAGGCCAGGACGUCUGAUGUCUGGGUUUAAUACAAAGAAAGAGGCUCGGGGAGGCGGCGGUGGGUAAGUGGUGGAGUCGGGGCUGUAGGGUGGCCACGGACACCUGGGAGGGGGUCAGCUCUGCCCGGAGUGGGCAGAGGACACCUCAUGGAAUCACACCUGUGACACACAAGGGGGGGGGCAGAUAAAAGUGUGGCCGGUGGGAGGGAUCCUGAGGAAUAACGUGAAGAAUGACGCUGGGUACUCCCACCUUCCGUUCGGCCCAGGGGGGCAAGGCUGACCUCCUCCCAGGGAUCUCCGUGGUAAUAGGAAAUGCUUGGGGUGGGGUGUUGGCGGCCGGCCGGCCAGUAGAGCCGGGGAGGAAAGGAGUCAUGAGGAGUUGGCCGGGCUGACCCCGUGGCAGAGCUGACUUUUAUGGGCCGCUGGGCCCUCACGGGACUCCUGUCCAGCUCCGAGGGGCCACGCCGAGCUGCGCCCCUGAGGUGGGGGGGGCAGGCGGCGCGCAGGGUGCCGGGGCGGCUCUCGGGCCCGGGCUCCGGCCACCUUAGGCUCCUGCCUCUCGGGGCCUCCGGAGUCCGGGCUCAGGUUGGGGCCGACCGUUAGCGCAGCUGGGAAAGUGAAGCAAGGCCUGGGUUUUUUCCUGAGCGAGUGUCGUGGUGAAGGAAGUUGCAACACGAUCUUCUUUUCUUUUCCUUUCUUUUCUUUUUUUUUUUUCUCUUUUUAUAGAAGGGGAAAACCAUCUUCCAGUAAACUUCAAACUUCAGACACAGCCUCUAGUCUUUGAUGGAGGGCACUGCCCGCGCCCCUGCCCCCGCGCUCUUGGUAGAGAUCUUCCUUUCCUCCCUCGUCCCUCUCCUCCAGGGCCGUGGCCCUGCAGCAGGCCGGCUGCCUGGAGGGCUGCCCGGCGGCCUCUCCUUGACAGUGGGAGCUGGUGAGGGAGGACAGGUGGUUCCCGACACCCACCUGGCCUCUCCUGCUCCCGCAUCCGGCUCUGUUCGUUGGGUAUUCUAGAAGGCCGAGGCAAUACUUCUCGGCUCAGGUAAUCACACUCGGUGGUAGAUUCAGAGCAUGUGCCUAGGCAGGUGCUGGGCAGAGGGGCUUGACGUGUGGGAGGCGGGAAUCAAGGCUGGAAGACCACACACGUUAAUCUGGAGUUCUUGGUCAGGUUUGAAUUUGGCCUUUGUACUGUACCUGGGCAGGAAUCCAGUUAUGUUUGAAAGCGUGCAGAUGAUUUAUUUUCCUGAUGAGAAAUUUUGAGGUCUGGAAAAGUAGUGGGUUUGGGGUUGUGUUUCUUCUUCUCUUCUCUUCUCUUCUCUUCUCUUCUCUUCUCUUCUCUUCUCUUCUCUUCUCUUCUCUCUCUCUUGGAUUUCUGUGCCCCCCAAAUUUCCGUGGCCAAAACGUUCUCUACAAACCUUUGCGACCCUGGCUUUAGUCAACCAAGGGGUGUUUUAGGUCAUCCCUGAGAGUGAGGCCUGCUUGCUCUGAGGAAGCUGGGAAAAGCCCCACUGCCUGGGGUGCGUGGUGGCUGCUGGCACUUCUAGUGCUGCUGGCAUUAAUUGCUUUCUCCAGCAGAGGAGGGCAAAGUCCGUAGGGGUGAGAGUUUUAGUUUGGGCUGUUUUCUGUACCUGUUGUCUUUGGUACAGCUGACAUAGAGCUCCUCCUUUCCUGCGGUUUUCUUUGAAUUUAAUCUCCCUGUCUAGUGCCCUUCAGGCUGGACACGAGCUCUGAGAGGUGGUGGUGGAUGGAGUUUGCUUGUUUACCUGGAUCCCACAGUGAACACAUCAGCCCUCUUUCACAGGACGCUGCGCUGGUCAGUAGCGUAGCCCUAGCCACAUGUGGCUAUUUAAGUUAAAUAAAUAAAACGAAACAUUAGUUCCUCUGUAGCAGUAGCCACGUUGCAAGUGCUCAGGGGUCUCAUGUAGCUAGUGGCCACUGUACUGGGCAGGACAGCUAGAGAACAUUCUAUCAUCUCAGAACAUUCUCUUAGACAAUGCUGCACUCUGAGGUCAUCAUUCUGCACCCUGGUAGAGAAUUAUCCGAGGUGGAAGGGGAUUUGUGGAAGAGCACACGGAGAGGUUUUAAGGCCCAGGUAAGGGGUAAAGAGGUGGUAAUCAUUUAAAAAUGGACCUCAGAUAGUAUUUAGUUUGUCUUGUUUAGGACUAUAUCCCAGUAGAUGGUCAGGUAGCCCCAUGGCUCCCGCACUAAGUCAGUUGUCACCUAUGGGUAACAUUUGAAAAUACAGAUGCCUGGGCCUCACUCUCCAUAUCUUUUUGAGUCUGAGACCACAGAGGUGGCAUUCAGGUAUGUGUGUUCUCAUCUGAUCAUUAUCUGGGUUUGGCUACCACUGAUCUAUUGAUCCUGAGCUUAAAUUCCUCCAGUUAUGGGGGGAGCUUACCCCUUUUCAAGAAAACCUUACCAUUAAAAAAACAAAACAAAACAAACAAACAAAAAGCUGCUGUUGUUAAAGUUCUCUGUUUACUGAGUUCAAAAUUUGUUCCCUGAACUUGUAAUAUUUCUUAGUGCUAGUUGCGUUUUCUGGAGCCUCACAGAGUGCUUCAGCUCCGUCUCCUGUACUCCGUCUUCUGCAGAUGUUUGAACACAGCCUGUGACCCGACGGACGUCAUGGCUCAUUUUCAGAGUACUCAGCCUGCCAAGGGCUCAAGGGAGAUGCAGAGAUGAGACAUCAUUGCCCGGAUCCUUCCAAUUAUCGGGCCUUGCUGAGAGAUUGAGGAAAGGUCAGAACCGGCGGGAGGAAUUCCCCGGCCUCUGGUUGCUGCCCAGAUACUAACCGCAAUCUCCAGCUCCACUGUUCUAAGAAACUCGCGUACCAGGAACAGCCCGUGGCUUCCGAACAGGGGCAACUAACUGCUCGAGAGGCAGAGGCUUCCUGUGUGUGUUGGGGGGGGCGGCAUUGAGAGGACCCUGCAGCCUGUCACCAGGACACCUGCCUCUGUGCUCAGCCGCAGAGGUCAGUGGGAGGUGCCCGUCCGGAGCCUGCUUCAUCGGGAACGCACAGAGAGCCCACCCCGGGAAACCAGAGAGCCUCCCGAAGGAGCAUGUGGCCAAAAUCAGGGUGUCUGAUGAACAAUUUUUUUCAGGGAGCCGGUGGGGGAAGACUAUUGUCCGCUCCUCUGGAGACAACCCGAGAUGUAGAUAUAUAGUUUGAAUACAAAAACACUGGACUUUCUGGAAACGUUAA